rnacentral:rRNA from 1 species
AUUGAACGCUGGCGGCAGGCCUAACACAUGCAAGUCGAGCGGCAGCGGGAAAGUAGCUUGCUACUUUUGCCGGCGAGCGGCGGACGGGUGAGUAAUGCCUGGGGAUCUGCCCAGUCGAGGGGGAUAACAGUUGGAAACGACUGCUAAUACCGCAUACGCCCUACGGGGGAAAGGAGGGGACCUUCGGGCCUUUCGCGAUUGGAUGAACCCAGGUGGGAUUAGCUAGUUGGUGGGGUAAUGGCUCACCAAGGCGACGAUCCCUAGCUGGUCUGAGAGGAUGAUCAGCCACACUGGAACUGAGACACGGUCCAGACUCCUACGGGAGGCAGCAGUGGGGAAUAUUGCACAAUGGGGGAAACCCUGAUGCAGCCAUGCCGCGUGUGUGAAGAAGGCCUUCGGGUUGUAAAGCACUUUCAGCGAGGAGGAAAGGUUGGCGCCUAAUACGUGUCAACU